rnacentral:rRNA from 1 species
AGAGUUUGAUCAUGGCUCAGAAUGAACGCUGGAGGCGUGCUUAACACAUGCAAGUCGAACGAGAAAGUUCCUUCGGGAGCGAGUAAAGUGGCGAUCGGGUGCGUAACACGUAGGUAAUCUACCCUAGAGAUUGGGACAACAGUUCGAAAGGACUGCUAAUACCAAAUAAGCCGACAGAUACUGAGGUAUCAGUCGGUAAAGAUGCCCUCUGUUUACAAGGUAUCACUCAAGGAUGAGCCUGCGCACUAUUAGCUUGUUGGUGAGGUAAUGGCUCACCAAGGCUUAGAUGGUUAGCUGGUCUGAGAGGACGACCAGCCACACUGGAACUGAAAUACGGUCCAGACUCCUACGGGAGGCAGCAGUGGGGAAUAUUGCGCAAUGGGGGAAACCCUGACGCAGCGACGCCUCGUGAGUGAUGAAGGCCUUCGGGUUGUAAAGCUCUGUCAGAUGGGAAGAAACGGAGUAUGGCUAAUAUCCAUACUCUUUGACGGUACCAUCAGAGGAAGCACCGGCUAACUUCGUGCCAGCAGCCGCGGUAAUACGAAGGGUGCUAGCGUUAUUCGGAAUCACUGGGCGUAAAGUGUGUGUAGGUGGUAAUUUAAGUUCGAUGUGAAAUCCUUAGGCCUAACCUAAGAACUGCAUUGAAAACUAGAUUACUAGAGUUCGGUAGAGGAUGGUGGAAUUCCUGGUGUAGAGGUGAAAUUCGUAGAUAUCAGGAGGAAUACCGGUGGCGAAGGCGACCAUCUGGACCGAUACUGACACUGAGACACGAAAGCGUGGGUAGCAAACAGGAUUAGAUACCCUGGUAGUCCACGCCGUAAACGAUGGAUACUAGGUGUGGGGGGUAUUGACCCCUCCCGUACCGCAGUUAACACGAUAAGUAUCCCGCCUGGGAAGUACGGUCGCAAGAUUAAAACUCAAAGGAAUUGACGGGGGCCCGCACAAGCGGUGGAGCAUGUGGUUCAAUUCGAAGCAACGCGAAGAACCUUACCUGGGUUUGAAGUUAUACUGCUAAUCAUAGAGAUAUGGUGUUUUCUUCGGAAACGGUAUAAUAGGUGCUGCAUGGCUGUCGUCAGCUCGUGUCGUGAGAUGUUGGGUUAAGUCCCGCAACGAGCGCAACCCCUAUCUUUAGUUGCCACCAUUAAGUUGGGCACUCUAGAGAGACUGCCGGUGUUAAGCCGGAGGAAGGUGGGGACGACGUCAAGUCAUCAUGGCCCUUACGUCCAGGGCGACACACGUGCUACAAUGGCCGGUACAGCGAGGAGCGAAACCGUGAGGUGAAGCAAAUCUCUAAAAACCGGUCACAGUUCGGAUUGAAGUCUGCAACUCGACUUCAUGAAGCUGGAAUCGCUAGUAAUCGCGGAUCAGCAUGCCGCGGUGAAUACGUUCUCGGGCCUUGUACACACCGCCCGUCACACCAUGAAAGUUGGUCUUGCCAGAAGACGUUUUACUAACCUUCGGGAGGUAAGCGGCCAAGGUGAGGUCGAUGAUUGGGGUGAAGUCGUAACAAGGUA